rnacentral:rRNA from 1 species
UACGGAGGGUGCAAACGUUGCUCGGAAUCAUUGGGCGUAAAGCGCACGUAGGUGGCCUGUUAAGUCGGGUGUGAAAUCCCUGGGCUCAACCCAGGAAGUGCACUCGAAACUGGCAGGCUUGAGUACUGAAGAGGGUCGCGGAAUUCCCGGUGUAGAGGUGAAAUUCGUAGAUAUCGGGAGGAACACCGGUGGCGAAGGCGGCGACCUGGGUCGAUACUGACGCUGAUGCGCGAAAGCGUGGGGAGCAAACAGG